rnacentral:rRNA from 1 species
GACGAACGCUGGCGGCGUGCUUAACACAUGCAAGUCGAACGGAAAGGCCCUGCUUUUGUGGGGCGCUCGAGUGGCGAACGGGUGAGUAACACGUGAGUAACCUGCCCUUGACUUUGGGAUAACUUCAGGAAACUGGGGCUAAUACCGGAUAGGAGCUCCUGCUGCAUGGUGGGGGUUGGAAAGUUUCGGCGGUUGGGGAUGGACUCGCGGCUUAUCAGCUUGUUGGUGGGGUAGUGGCUUACCAAGGCUUUGACGGGUAGCCGGCCUGAGAGGGUGACCGGCCACAUUGGGACUGAGAUACGGCCCAGACUCCUACGGGAGGCAGAGGUGGGGAAUAUUGCACAAUAGGCGGAAGCCUGAUGCAGCAACGCCGCGUGCGGGAUAACGGCCUUCGGGUUGUAAACCGCUUUCGCCUGUGACGAACCGUGAGUGACGGUAAUGGGUAAAGAAGCACCGGCUAACUACGUG